rnacentral:rRNA from 1 species
UACGGGGGGGGCAAGCGUUGUUCGGAAUUACUGGGCGUAAAGGGCUCGUAGGCGGCCAACUAAGUCGGACGUGAAAUCCCUCGGCUUAACCGGGGAACUGCCUCUGAUACUGGAUGGCUUGAGAUUGGGAGAGGGAUGCGGAAUUCCAGGUGUAGCGGUGAAAUGCGUAGAUAUCUGGAGGAACACCGGUGGCGAAGGCGGCAUCCUAGACCAACACUGACGCUGAGGAGCGAAAGCCAGGGGAGCAAACGGG